GGAGGAUUUCCGUGUGGGGAGGAGCUGCUCACGGCAACAUCGGAGGGGGAGCCUCCACAGGCAGUGGGGAGGUGAGGCCGCCGUGGUGUCCUGGGGGAGUGAAGAAGGCAUGGGCCAGCGCCAGCCAGGGAGCGUUCAUACGGCGCACGGUCCCACCCGGUCUCCGCACGCUACCGUGAGGUAGGCAGCGAAGCGAGGAGAGUUUGAAUCGGAUGCAGAAAGCCAUGUGCCCAAAGAGAAACGGCAAGUUAGUGGUGGAUCCGGAGGCCUGGAGUCUCCUGGCGUCUUGAACUUCUUACAGAAGCCUGACAUAUACACAAAACUGAGAGUUUAGCUGGUGAAUUUUCACAAAGUAAUCAGACUCCUGAAGCCAGUGCCAGAUCAACAGGACACUGCCAGCCCCUCAGAAGCCCCUUCACAGCCCACAAAGAGGAGCCAUCACCCUGACUUCUAACAUCACAGUUCUGGCUCAAGAUGGUGACGUAGAAGGAUCCUGAACUCUCCUCCUCCCAGACACUGGAUAUACUGGAUACGCAGCUACUUACAGAACAAUUAGCCGAAUGACUCCCACACAUUAGGCGAAGGAGAAAAAAACCCACAUCAAAGCAGAUGAGGAAGUUGAGGCCCAGAGAGGACCGGCCCUGAGUCACAGAGCUGCAAGCGGUGGAGCCAGGACUCCAGACUGUCUGCAUUCCAAACUUGCUCUGUUGGUCUUUGAGUUUGCAACCCUUGACUUCCCGACCCCUUGCUGAAAGUUUCACAGAGGAAGACAUGAGAGCCGAGGAGGAAGAAAUAGUUGAUGACCCUUGUCACAUUGAAUCAAGUUGAUGAUGCUGGUUCCCCUGCUGCCCAGGAGCAAACCAUGGAGAGGAUGGGUUUUUUUUCUGCAUAUCCUCAGUGCCUGGUGCAGAGCCAACCGAGGGAACUACGUGCCAAACGAAUGAGGUGACCUGCCCUCAGUCACAUAGAGCCGGAUGCGAACCCAGGGCUCCUGCCUGCCUACUCAGGCCUCUUCCCCCAGACCUGGCUGCUGUCCAACCUACCCUGCAUCCCCUUGGAUACUGGUAGAGGUCAAGAGCACAGGCUCUGAGUCUAGCAUAUUCACACCCAAAUUCCAGCUUCAUCUUUCACCACUUUGAGCCUUGAUUUCUCCACCAGCAAAUGGGGCUAAUCAUGGAACCUACAUCAUAGGGCUGCUGGG